AACGAACGCUGGCGGCAUGCCUAACACAUGCAAGUCGAACGAGACCUUCGGGUCUAGUGGCGCACGGGUGCGUAACGCGUGGGAACCUGCCCUUAGGUUCGGAAUAACUCCCCGAAAGGGGUGCUAAUACCGGAUAAUGUCUUCGGACCAAAGAUUUAUCGCCUGUGGAUGGGCCCGCGUUGGAUUAGCUAGUUGGUAGGGUAAAGCCUACCAAGGCGACGAUUCAUAGCUGGUCUGAGAGGAUGAUCAGCCACACUGGGACUGAGACACGGCCCAGACUCCUACGGGAGGCAGCAGUGGGGAAUAUUGGACAAUGGGCGAAAGCCUGAUCCAGCAAUGCCGCGUGAGUGAUGAAGGCCUUAGGGUUGUAAAGCUCUUUUACCCGGGAUGAUAAUGACAGUACCGGGAGAAUAAGCUCCGGCUAACUCCGUG
rnacentral:rRNA from 1 species